UGGGGAAUCUUGGACAAUGGGGGCAACCCUGAUCCAGCCAUGCCGCGUGAGUGAUGAAGGCCUUAGGGUCGAACAGGCCUUGCCAUUGACGGUACCUGCAGAGGAAGCCCCGGCUAACUCCGUGCCAGCAGCCGCGGUAAUACGGAGGGGGCAAGCGUUAUUCGGAUUUACUGGGCGUAAAGCGCACGUAGGCGGACCAGAAAGUUGGGGUGAAAUCCCGGGGCUCAACCCCGGAACUGCCUCCAAAACUAUUGGUCUAGAGUUCGAGAGAGGUGAGUGGAAUUCCAAGUGUAGAGGUGAAAUUCGUAGAUAUUUGGAGGAACACCGGUGGCGAAGGCGGUCACCUGGGCCCAGUACUGACGCUGAGGCGCGAAAGCGUGGGGAGCAAACAGGAUUAGAUACCCUGGUAGUCCACGCCGUAAAACGAUGAGCACUCGGUGCCGCGGGGUAUCGACCCCUGCGGUGCCUGAGCUAACGCAUUAAGUGCUCCGCCUGGGGAGUACGGUCGC
rnacentral:rRNA from 1 species